rnacentral:rRNA from 1 species
GGUUGAUCCUGCCAGUAGUCAUAUGCUUGUCUCAAAGAUUAAGCCAUGCACGUCUAAGUACAGUAAAUGGGGGGACGCGGGCAGCAGCAAUGUUGUUCGUUUCUCUCCGAUAUAUAGCGAAACUGCGGAUGGCUCAGUAUAACAGUGUGAAUCUCCAGGGCGGUUUCCGCGGGUUGUCUUUUUUAGGCUAUUCGCAUUAAAAGGAUAACUGUGGAAACUCCAGAGCUAAUACUUGAAAUCUUACCGGUUGUUGAGUCCGGAGGGGAUUGGCAGUCAACGGGGCGACUGGCGGG